CAAUAGCGUAUAUUAAAGUUGUUGCAGUUAAAAAGCUCGUAGUUGGAUUUGUGGCGUACGGUGUGUUCCGGGCACUUGUUGUCUGAGUAACCUGCUGUUGCCAUCCUUGGGUGGAACCUGUGUGGCAUUAGGUUGUCGUGCAGGGGAUGCCCAUCAUUUACUGUGAAAAAAUUAGAGUGUUCAAAGCAGGCUUAUGCCGUUGAAUAUAUUAGCAUGGAAUAAUGAGAUAGGACUUUUUUGCUAUUUUGUUGGUUUGCGCAAAGAGGUAAUGAUUAAUAGGGACAGUUGGGGGUAUUCGUAUUCCAUUGUCUGAGGUGAAAUUCUUGGAUUUUUGGAAGACGAACUACUGCGAAAGCAUUUACCAAGGAUGUUUUCAUUAA
rnacentral:rRNA from 1 species